UACGAAGGGGCUAGCGUUGCUCGGAAUCACUGGGCGUAAAGGGUGCGUAGGCGGGUUUUAAGUCAGGGUGAAAUCCUGGAGCUCAACUCCAGAACUGCCUUUGAUACUGAAAAUCUUGAGUCCGGGAGAGGUGAGUGGAACUGCGAGUGUAGAGGUGAAAUUCGUAGAUAUUCGGAAGAACACCAGUGGCGAAGGCGGCUCACUGGCCCGGUACUGACGCUGAGGUGCGAAAGCGUGGGAGCAACAGG
rnacentral:rRNA from 1 species